GGAAGUAAAAGUCGUGACAAGGUUUCCAUAGGUGAACCUGCGGAAGGAUCAUUAAAGAGAAUAUGCCCUUCGGGGUAGAUCUCCCACCCUUUGUUUAUAUUACCUUUGUUGCUUUGGCAGGCCCGUCUUCGGACCACCGGCUUCGGCUGGUCAGUGCUUGCCAGGGGACCCAAAACUCUUAUUAUUAAUGUCGUCUGAGUACUAUAUAAUAGUUAAAACUUUCAACAACGGAUCUCUUGGUUCUG
rnacentral:misc_RNA from 1 species